rnacentral:rRNA from 6 species
UUUGACGUUAGCGACAGAAGAAGCACCGGCUAACUCCGUGCCAGCAGCCGCGGUAAUACGGAGGGUGCGAGCGUUAAUCGGAAUUACUGGGCGUAAAGCGCAUGCAGGUGGUUUGUUAAGUCAGAUGUGAAAGCCCGGGGCUCAACCUCGGAAUUGCAUUUGAAACUGGCAGACUAGAGUACUGUAGAGGGGGGUAGAAUUUCAGGUGUAGCGGUGAAAUGCGUAGAGAUCUGAAGGAAUACCGGUGGCGAAGGCGGCCCCCUGGACAGAUACUGACACUCAGAUGCGAAAGCGUGGGGAGCAAACAGGAUUAGAUACCCUGGUAGUCCACGCCGUAAACGAUGUCUACUUGGAGGUUGUGGCCUUGAGCCGUGGCUUUCGGAGCUAACGCGUUAAGUAGACCGCCUGGGGAGUACGGUCGCAAGAUUAAAACUCAAAUGAAUUGACGGGGGCCCGCACAAGCGGUGGAGCAUGUGGUUUAAUUCGAUGCAACGCGAAGAACCUUACCUACUCUUGACAUCCAGAGAACUUUCCAGAGAUGGAUUGGUGCCUUCGGGAACUCUGAGACAGGUGCUGCAUGGCUGUCGUCAGCUCGUGUUGUGAAAUGUUGGGUUAAGUCCCGCAACGAGCGCAACCCUUAUCCUUGUUUGCCAGCGAGUAAUGUCGGGAACUCCAGGGAGACUGCCGGUGAUAAACCGGAGGAAGGUGGGGACGACGUCAAGUCAUCAUGGCCCUUACGAGUAGGGCUACACACGUGCUACAAUGGCGCAUACAGAGGGCAGCCAACUUGCGAAAGUGAGCGAAUCCCAAAAAGUGCGUCGUAGUCCGGAUUGGAGUCUGCAACUCGACUCCAUGAAGUCGGAAUCGCUAGUAAUCGUGGAUCAGAAUGCCACGGUGAAUACGUUCCCGGGCCUUGUACACACCGCCCGUCACACCAUGGGAGUGGGCUGCAAAAGAAGUAGGUAGUUUAACCUUCGGGGGGACGCUUACCACUUUGUGGUUCAUGACUGGGGUGAAGUCGUAACAAGGUAGCGCUAGGGGAACCUGGCGCUG